rnacentral:rRNA from 1 species
GAUGAACGCUGGCGGCGUGCCUAAUACAUGCAAGUCGAGCGAACAGACGAGGAGCUUGCUCCUCUGACGUUAGCGGCGGACGGGUGAGUAACACGUGGAUAACCUACCUAUAAGACUGGGAUAACUUCGGGAAACCGGAGCUAAUACCGGAUAAUAUAUUGAACCGCAUGGUUCAAUAGUGAAAGACGGUUUUGCUGUCAAUUAUAGAUGGAUCCGCGCCGCAUUAUCUAGUUGGUAAGGUAACGGCUUACCAAGGCAACGAUGCGUAGCCGACCUGAGAGGGUGAUCGGCCACAUUGGAAGUGAGACACGGACCAGACUCCUACGGGAGGCAGCAGUAGGGAAUCGUCCGCAAUGGGCGAAAGCCUGACGGAGCAACGCCGCGUGAGUGAUGAAGGUCUUCGGAUCGUAAAACUCUGUUAUUAGGGAAGAACAAAUGUGUAAGUAACUAUGCACGGCUUGACGGUACCUAAUCAGAAAGCCACGGCUAACUACGUG